AGCCUCGUGCCGCGGCCCUCGGGGCUCGGCUGGCGACCUCGCGUGGGGAGGAGGCGCUGAGGCAGCGCAGGAGGCCGGCGGCGGGCUCCGACACCUGUGGGUCCGGGUGCCAGUGGGCACCGUCGACCAGUGUCCGGCUCUGCGGCGCCGGGUCUUCUCGGCAGUCGGGCUGCCAGCGGCAAGAGAAGACCUACAGCUCUUUCUUACACCCCAGUGAACCACCUAGCCUAUGCAGAAGAAACUAAUGAUGGAUGGAAAAUAGAGUAGCCUGCUCUGCUCAUCCUGUUGGUCAUGGCUCACCAAGUUUGACCAGUGUAGCUGUGGAGCCAAGAUGCCAGGUACCUUUUAACUACCAUGCUGUUGGAAGCCAGAUUUUUAGAUGGUAAAUAUCUUAGACUAGCAGACAUCUGUUGCAACUACCCAACUCAGCCAUUGUACUGAGAAACCAACCAUAGACAAAUGGACAUGACUAUGUUCCAAUAAAACUUUAUUUACAAAAUAGGCAGCUUGAUAUCCAAAUUGUACAUUUUCAUGAAGCAUGCCUUUAUUAUAGGUAAUUGUCAUGUUAAAGUGUGACUUAAAAUGUAAGUGUUCAAUACAAAUUUGUGUAAAUAAAGCACAUAAUUUUUCACCCUACACACACAAAAAAGAGUAGAUCUACCAUAUUCAUUGAUGUAGUUAGUGGUCAUUUUUUCCCCCUGUGAUGGUUGUGACAACCAGAAGUCAGCUAAAACACAGCUUUUUGUUGGAGGACCUGCAGCAAUGUUCCUGGUUUGCACAGAGGCGUCUAUUAUGUGGAAAUACAGAGAGUAAGGAGAGAGGUGCUCCAGAACUAGGGCAUGGGGCAGGGUUCAAAGUCAUUUGGUUUCCUCCCCCUACUUUCCCACAGCCCACU